AGGAAACCUGGUCCCCAUCAGCCUGGUCCGUACAGAGAGAGGCAGAUGUGGUCCUUCUACAGGGAAUUGUCUGCACUGGCAGGGCUUUCUGACUGUAAGAGAACAGUGUGACCGCUGGGCUCCUGACACCAAUCAUUUCUGUGAGUCACCCUGGGGUGUGUGGGUCUCAGGGAGUACAGUUCCCCUGAGGAAAAGAGACACACACCAACAACACUACAGGGCAAUCACCUCAGAGCAUGGAGGCUCAAAAACUGGAAAAUAAACUGAAGGUGCUUCUGAAGAUUCCAUUCCAGAGACCCUGAUCCCCUAAGGAAGACAUGCUUCUGAAAAGGGAGUUGGGAGAAGAGGACACGGGGAGCUCCUCUCCAACACCUCCUCUCUCAGUUGGACUUUGUUACUGUUUUUCCUGAGACAAAAGCUGCACCCUACCUCUUUGUCCCACAGAAGCAGCGGGACAGCUUUCUGGUCCUCUUUCCCAUCAUUGAGCACUUCAAAUGAAGAAACCUGCAAGAUGUGGAAAAUAUGUAAAACUCACGUCUCAAUAAUGUCAGUGCUAUCACCUUCAUCCAUCCCAAUGAACUUCAGCUAUGCAAACCUGAGUAUCCUCUGAGCCUUGCUUUUGUGAUCAGUUUGGAUUUAAGCACAUAUCUGUAACAGUUGUUUCCUUUCAAGGAUCUUAGUUCAGUUCAGUUCAGUUCAAGGAUCUUAACCCAUCCCCACAUUCCCAUCUGGGAAUCCAAGCCUACAUUUACUCUUCACGUUAAACUAUAUUCCACUCCUUACCCUUCACUGAGCAAGACGAUCUCUCUUACUCUGCCUUUGAUUCUCAGAAUCAGAGUCUCCAUGAAGGGCCUCUAUCCAGUCUUGUGCUGGAAUCUGUACAAAGGGAAACACACUCACUACUCCCCACCUUCUGAGAUCUGAUGGCAAGACAGCUACUGUCCAGAGCAGGCAGAUAGAAGAUCAGUAAAAUCCCAUAUCUUCUGCAAGUCUGAAGGUUAAAGAUUCUUGGGAUCAGAGAGCUCAGGGCUACACACUAACCAAUCCUUGGAAAUAUUAAGUUAAAUAAUAUGAACUUCCUGGUCUGAAGUCCAAAAAAGUUGAUAUCUACAAUUAUAUGCAAUUCAACCUAUGCUUGGGGACAGCGUGGCUCCAUGUUCACUCUAGUUAGAGCCACAGCUGAGUCCGCUCCUCUAAUCAUUCUAAAGAGAAUUCCUGGGAAAUAUGGCAUUUUAGGACCUAUUUCAAUGAGAAGAAAGAGAGAGC
ensembl:lncRNA